rnacentral:rRNA from 1 species
CGUGUAGGCGGCCAAACAGGUCCGUUGUGAAAACUGGAGGCUUAACCUCCAGACGUCGACGGAAACCGUGUGGCUAGAGUCCGGAAGAGGAGAGUGGAAUUCCUGGUGUAGCGGUGAAAUGCGCAGAUAUCAGGAAGAACACCAAUGGCGAAGGCAGCUCUCUAGGACGGUACUGACGCUGAGACGCGAAAGCGUGGGGAGCGAACA